rnacentral:rRNA from 1 species
GAUCCUGGCUCAGGAUGAACGCUGGCGGCGUGCUUAACACAUGCAAGUCGAACGAUUGAAGCUGGAGCUUGCUCCGGCCGAUUUAGUGGCGGACGGGUGAGUAACGCGUGGGUAACCUGCCUCAUACAGGGGGAUAGCAGUUGGAAACGACUGGUAAAACCGCAUAAGCGCACGGUGUCGCAUGACACAGUGUGAAAACACUCCGGUGGUAUGAGAUGGACCCGCGUCUGAUUUAG